GCGAGCAGGCGCGUGUGACGUCGGGAGGCGCCGCGGCUCCUCGGCCGCCCCACUCGGUGGUCCCCUGUCUGGACCCAAACUGCUGACUGGCUGACCCGAGUGGUCACAUUUGCCCUCUGGGGCUUUUGAAAAGCUUAAAUCAAAAUUGCUUUUGAAUCUGACAACUCCUGAGGCUACUUUCGCGGCCUCGGGGCUGUUUCAUAUAAGGACGCGAGUUUUCCCGAUCAGGUCGGUCGGCCACGUUACGAUUUCCAAUUUGCGAUCCAUCAGUUACUUCCAUUGGGUCUUCAGCCCGCAGGGACUGUGGAUCCUAGACCCCGCGGAGAAGCCCGUGGACUGGAGCUGUGUCAGCUCUGAUGGAACAAAAACGGAGGCACAGAGAGGUCAAUUGAUUGGUCUAAUGACACAGAUCUAGCAAGUGGUGGAACCAGGACUGAAUCCAGAGAAUCUGGAAGACUACUCUGCCAAGACAUCUCAAAAAGUGUGUGUCCGGAAUUGGUGGGUUCUUGGUCUCACUGACUUCAAGAAUGAAGCCGCGGACCCUUGCGGAACUGUGAAGAUUAGAGUGACCUUAGAGAUCUCAUCUGGAAGAUGGUAGAACUGCUAUCAGCCUGGGUUCCCAAAUGACCUCCUGGAUCACAGCUACCCAUGGCCUGAAAUGUUGACCUUGGAGUUGUUGCAUAGGAAAGAAAUAAACUUCUUUGUUC
rnacentral:antisense_RNA from 1 species